rnacentral:rRNA from 1 species
UUGAUGGUACCGCAAGAGGAAGAGACGGCUAACUCUGUGCAGCAGCCGCGGUAAUACAGAGGUCUCAAGCGUUGUUCGGAAUCACUGGGCGUAAAGGGUGCGUAGGUGGCGUGGUAAGUCAGAUGUGAAAGCCCCGGGGCUCAACCCCGGAAUUGCAUCCGAUACUACCGUGCUAGAGUACUGAAGAGGAAACUAGAAUUCUCGGUGUAGCAGUGAAAUGCGUAGAUAUCGAGAGGAAUACCAAAGGCGAAGGCAGGUUUCUUGGCAGUUACUGACACUGAGGCACGAAGGCCAGGGGAGCAAACGGGAUUAGAUACCCCGGUAGUCCUGGCAGUAAACGGUGCACACUUGGUGUGGGGGAAUUCGACCUCUUCCGCGCCGGAGCUAACGCGUUAAGUGUGCCGCCUGGGAAGUACGGUCGCAAGAUUAAAACUCAAAGAAAUUGACGGGGC